CACACCGCCCGUCACGUCAUGGAAGGUGGCAACGCUUGAAGUCGCUGGGGCAACCCGCAAGGGAGCCCGGCGCCGAGGGCGGGGCUGCUGACUGGGACG
rnacentral:rRNA from 1 species